ACAUACGACCAUAGACUCAAGAGAAUUGGGCAUCCCGUCCGUUCUGCCAUACACAAGCUUGAGAUCGGUGGAUUAGUAGUUGGGUGGGUGACCACCAGCGAAUACCCACUGUUGUAUGUU
rfam:Pseudogymnoascus pannorum VKM F-4281 (FW-2241) contig_167, whole genome shotgun sequence.